rnacentral:rRNA from 1 species
UACGAAGGGGGCUAGCGUUGUUCGGAUUUACUGGGCGUAAAGCGCACGUAGGCGGAUUGGUCAGUUAGGGGUGAAAUCCUGGAACUCAACUCCAGAACUGCCUUUAAGACUGCAUCGCUUGAAUCCAGGAGAGGUGAGUGGAAUUCCGAGUGUAGAGGUGAAAUUCGUAGAUAUUCGGAAGAACACCAGUGGCGAAGGCGGCUCACUGGACUGGUAUUGACGCUGAGGUGCGAAAGCGUGGGGAGCAAACAGG